rnacentral:tRNA from 1 species
GCUCCCAUAGUUCAAUGGAUAGAAUAUUGGUCUCCGGAACCGACGAUUUGGGUUCGAAUCCCGAUGGGAGCGCCA